AAUUAACUUAAACCUAGGAUUGUGAUUAAUUAAGCCUAAGUUUGGGAUUAAUGAAACCUAGUAUAAAUACCUAAUGAGUACGGCUCCCUUUCAUUUCUCACGACCCCGACUCCUCUUCUUGUGAUUCUUCGUCGUCGCCCCUCCUUUUCGCCCUUCCAUGCCGGUGCCACCUUGUUGGGUCGAGGGUGCUACUGGUGGCACAAUCACUUGCGGAUUAGGGCUUUUGAUGAGGGUUGUUGGGUUGAAGGUUCGAAUCAUACCGAAGCCGAGAUUUAUCCUUCAAAUUGCAAGGAAGGCAAAUAUUUUCUUCCCUUAUAGGGUAUGGGAUUAGGGUUUCUUUGGUUUUGCACUGUCCUUCAAGAGGAUUCUUCGGAUGUGAUUGGUGGCUCAUAAUGUAAAUGAUACAGAUGUAGGAGAUGACACCAAGGAGGUGAUAGAGGACGUGGAGAUGGAGUAACUGAGGAGAUGAGAUAAAAUGCAUAGGUCACUCUCUAGGGGGAUUAAGAGCAUGUUAAUAAAUGUAGUCUUUUGAUUGUUAUGUGGAUAUAAGUUAGAGACUAUUCAUUUUAUGUUUUCAUGUUUUGUUAUUGGAAGCUUAAGAAAUGUUCAUUCGAAAGAUAUAUGUUGAGAAUUGAAGUUUACAUGUGAUGAAAUUUUCUUUGGGUUUAAAGUAAAUGUGGUAUGCUA